GUGCUCACAUCAGUGGUAGCACAUAUAUUAAAAUUGGAAUGGUACAGACAAGAUUAGCCUGGCCCUCAUGCAAGGAUGACAUGCAAAUUCAUUAAGUGUUCCAUAAAAAA
ensembl:snRNA U6 U6 spliceosomal RNA